CUUUACAGUUCGAGACAGAGAGAGAUUUUUGAAUCCACAAAGAAGAAGAAAAAAGUCAUACAUUUCCAGGAUUGCGUGAGAGAGUUAAAUGAUGACAGAAUUUUCAUUUUGGGGUGAACUAUCCUUUUAUGGUCUAAAUUAUAGCAACUAGAAUGUCUUUGUGCAAUAUGUUCCCAUCAAACUAGUUUUACUUACUAUAAACAUUUUUUAGACUGUAACCUUAUUCAUAAAUAUUUUUAGCAUCACUUUGUGUUGUGUAAACGGAAUGUUCACGUGGAUAUACAUAAACACAAUAUUCUCUUAUCUAUUUCCAAUGUGUGUGUGUGUGUGUGUCAGUGUUACAGCAUGCAGAGUCUGACUGAACUCCCUGCAGCGUCUCGCGCCUUGCCACGGCUCCAGCAUGUGUUGCCUGCGGAUGUCACACGCUCGUCAGUUGUGGGUUUAAGCCACUCCCCAGACACACCCUGCAGCCAUUUGGCCAAAAUCGUGGGACGCUCAGCAGAGCAGACCAGAUUCAAAAGCACAAGGAAGAAAGGGAGGCAUAAAGCAGUUCAGCAGGAGGAGGGAGAGGAUGUACAUGCAGUGGCUAGUGAUUAUGAGGACGAGUUUCAAGAUGACCCUGGCCUAUCCAAAGACUAAAAAGACCAUGAAAGAACGGUGCAGUCUCUACACUUUGAUCUGGUUUUGAAGGCUGGAUUGGACAUUGCCCAACAGCAAGUCAGGGAAACUAUUCAUCAUGUCCACACCAGUGAGUUACAAAGGGGUGUUUUCAGCUCCAGUUGGAGGUUGAUAUUUUGGCAUUUACUAAGAAACCAUAUAUAUAGUUUACAGUGGUGUGGAGGAUGCUUUCUAUAGCCUCAAAUUGAUACUGAAUGGUCAGACUCUCUCUACGAAGAGUAAAAUGGUUAAAGUGGGUGACACUGGAUAAUAAGACUCAUAAGUGAGGAUAAGGAAAUGGACACAGUAUUACUGAAGAGAGUGAACUUAAAAAAGGUGGUUGGACAUACAAAAGAUGCAAAAAAAGCUGAGAGUCAUUCUAAGAAGCUGG